UGACCUCACUUCUCUAUGCCCAGAGCCCCCCUCCGGACCCCCACGUCUCCCAGGGCCAUCUCCCACAAGGCCGGGUUACACCCGCCUCCUUGUUUCUUACCGACAAGGCUUGGCACAACAGCUCUGCGGAUUCGUCCCGGAAGUUAUUUCCUGUAGCGAAGUGCAGAGAAGUACAGAGAACAGACAUACUGGGAUUUGAGCGUUUUCACAGUGCAUCAAGCAGCAGGAGAGGCCGCCAGUGGCAGGUAAUGAUGACUCCCUCCUGGGAUGAUUGCAAAGACGCCACCAGGCCAGCCUCAGAGGACCUGGCAUAAAGCUGCCCCAGAGGAUGCUGCCUCGUUCCUGCUGUGGGGUGGCCCGGCGGGCCCAGGAGAGCUGAGGUCUCUAGCUUCUGAGGAUGGACGCGCACCUCCGCCCCGCCCAACUAGGUGCCCGCAGUCACCUUCGAUCUCCAAGUCUGUUUCGGAGCUCUCCCAGCCUGACUUCUCUUUCUCUGCAGCCACAGAGGCCUCAGCCUCACAGUAGAGGGCUUUGUCACUGUCCUGUGCUGCCGGCUCCGUUUUGGGUUCAUCUAGAAGAAAAACUCAUCUCCUUAAUGCUGGAAGUAAAACCUGCUGGUUGAGAGGCACCCGAGAGGUCGAAGCCCACCUGUGGCUUCUCCCCUGUUUCCCCCUCCACCUCCCCUCCUUCCUUUGCCUGCCAGGUCCUGGAGGACCUCCCCCCACCAGCCUGAUGGGGCCUAAGAUGCCAAGGAACUGCAGUGUGCAUUCAGUGUCCAUUCCACAAGCCCUCCCUCCCAGACACAAUGCCACUGCCUGACCGUCUGUAUCUUGUACGAAACCCCCCACCUCAUGCCCUCUGCAGACUCCUGGCUCCUGCCUCAUUCCCUGCCUGGGGCCUGUCUCGGAGAUUGGCACUAUUUUCCUUCUUGUUUGCUUGGGUGGGCUUCAGGGUCUGCUUUGUUCUCUCAGGGGAAGGAUGUGUGUCGAUGUCUCACUGGCAGAGGCCAAAUGAUGCUGCGGAAGGCGAGGGGCAGGCCGAGGGGGCCACUUGGGGCAAGCGUAAAAUGAACUGGAACACAAGCAGU